UUCUGACAUUUGUUCUCUCUGAUUUAUGUCUCAGUUAUGUUUGUAUGAUACCAUAAAUUUGUUAGCAGAUAUCGUUCUUGAAUGGCAAAGAAGUUGCAAUAUCUCCUAACAUGUAAAGCCAAAUUGAAAUAUUUAAUAGUUUCUUCACCUUAGAAGAUUUCUCCAGCGAGAAAUAACAAGCGGAUUGAUGAUCCCCUAUUUCAUCUUCUGGAUUGAUGAUUUUGAGUUGAGGAUGGAGAUCUAGUUUCUUUGAUUGGCUAGGAGGUACAAUUGUCAAUGCUUAUGAUGGAAUCAUAUCAUUAACAAGUUUUAUAAAUAGAAAUCAUUCUUAUGCAAAUACUGAAAGGCAACUGUGAACGACAAGAGCACUAUGCUUGGAACUAGAACAUCGACAGAUCUGGUACUUGCAAAAUUUGUUACACUGCUGUUUAAAAUGACCUUGGAGCACAGGCAUGAAUAUGUUUAGUCGCAUUAUGGCAUAAUAAAUAGCAAAGCUUUUACCACUGAUGUGGUUGACUGAGGGGGACAUGGCUUGCUUCUCCCAACUUGUCCUGUGGUGCACAGAUGACGGCCUCACUCAAAAUGAGGGAGAGUUAUGACUCGCACUGAAAAUUCUGAUGGUGUUUUUCAUGUUAAAGCCUCGUGAUCUCUCUCUCCCUCUCUCACAGUGACAAAGGGUAGAUGUUUGUUAAGCAACUAUACUUGCAUGUAGCAUUCCCAUUUUUCCAGUAUUGAUAAGGAAAGCUUUUGAUAUACAGCAGAAACCAUUCGAAAUAGAGUCAAUCUCUUAUUGGCUUGUAUAUUUGUGUUAUGGGUCUUAGUAACGAGAGAUUCAAAGGCACUAGUUAAGACCACUAAAAAUAGUUAUUAUGUGUAAAAACACUUUAAAAAUUGAGUAUGUUUUCCAAGAACAACUGAUGGCCUUAAGCAAGUGCCUUAGGGGCACUUUAAAACAUUUUCCUUAUGUUGUUAUCUUGGCUGAUUUUUCUUGCUCUAGAAAUACAUAGAUGCUAUUUUAUCCUGGCAGCCUUAAUGCUUAUAGUUUAUGAAGUUCUUGUUUCCAUUCUUCUAUAAAAUUAUAUAAUGUCACCCUGUGGAUGGGUUCCACUAUCCAGUUGCUCGACUAAUUCAAAGCAGUUGCUUGUUGAAGAAUUUUUAAGUUCUAGCCCUCAUGCACCUUCAGGGUCACUUGAAACUUUGCACAAAUAUUUUGUUCUCACUUUCACGAUAUUUUCAUCAAUGUUUAUAACAAUUAGUGAUCAGACAUCAGUGAACUUGCAUUUAACAUCAUCCUCUUUGAUGUUUGAGAAGGAUUCAAUGUCAAGCCUGUUAAUGGCAAUUUGAACUCAUCUAACUCUGGCCAAAAAAAAUCAUCAAACAAUUGUCUGUAGAGUCUAGGGGAACUUAUUUUCUUACUUGAAGCAAAAGAUUAGGUACCCAAUUCCCACAAUUAUUAUUCGGUGAUAAACCAGAUGAGGCACAAACAACCAUAUUCCUACCUCCUUUUUAGGUGGGGGUAAAUAUGAGCCUACCUUCAACUAGAUUCUAAAGUGUUUUACUGAGGACUUUUCUGGCUGGAAAUUAUGAUAGGGCAAGCAAAGAAUCUAGCUGUCACAAAUUCUGAGUUGGUCAGAGAAAAAGAUCAACUACCUUAAUAAACGAAAAAGAAAAAAUAUAUGAGCCAUGUCUUUUUUUGUUGAGUAAGCGAGCAUUCUUAUUCACAAAAUAGAUUAGGGCAGUAUGGCAUUAGCUCGAACACAGCAACAACAAAAUUACAACAACCUCCAUCUACGACAUAGUUGAGAGAAAGCAGCAGUAUCACUUAAUCUCUUAUCACCCUAUACAUGACAUCAUGCUAAACAAUAAAAAAAAUAUAACUAUUUGAAACAACAUAAGAGUCUUCAUGUAUCUAUUAAUUCCUCGCAGCCCAUAUGUGAGUAAUUGUUGCACACCAUGCUAACUUGAAAAUCACAGUAGGAACGGUUGGCCUCUCCAAUUCCUUUAAGCCCAUUGCAGUUCUUAAUUCCAACUCUGUAGAGAUCUAACAACACAUCUGCUAUGAACUUGCUGCCGUUUAGAUAACACACGUUCCAUAAUUGAUGACCACUUGACUCAAAGUGAGAUUCAUAAAGAGCACGACACUCAUUAAUAGAAGAAAACACUUUUCUUAUCCUAUCCUUUGUGGAUAGUGUGUGUUCAAAAUGGCCAGUCAGCAUAUGAGGCUAUGCUUUGGUACGUUAGUGGAGAACAAAUCAGCUUGUACCAUUCCACUUUCUUUGCUUCUUUGAAGAUGACAUAGUCUAAUGGACCUUAUCUGGCUGACCUUAUCAGGCUGCCUUGAUAGAUAGAGUCACACAAAGAUGAUUGAAUCAAUACUGAAUCAUCUGAUGUUGCAAUAGGCUAGUUCCAUAUGCUAUCUUCAAUAACAUCAGCAACUUUGGCUUGGAGAGGGAGACCAGAAUCAUGCACAAUCCUUCUUCUGAAGAUUUCCAACAAAGCGCCCAACGAAUGCCAUGGAUCCUGUGACAGAAAAGUGCUCUUUCCACCCCAAACUACAUACUGAAUAAAAGGUCUAAACUUAUGUCUAAGCUUAAGCAAUUUCCUCCGAACAUAAGAGGAAUUAGCAGAAGAAGCAACCUGUCAUAUGCUAUUAUUCUUCAAGAAAUAAACUUUAACACAAGCUGUCCAAAGGGAUCCGGAUUCAAUCAAUAGCAACCAAAUUAACCUUGGCUACUGUUUUAUUCCAGUGGUAUAUUUGCUUCAAUCCCGAUCCCCUUCUUUCGUUGGUAGAUAAACAACCUCCCAUUUCACUUUCAGUCCUCUCAACUUAUCAUCAGUACCAGUCCAAAGAACGAAAUUACAAUACCUGUCUAUUGUUUUGAUGACUUUUUUGGGCAAAAUAAAGAUAACACACCAAUAAGAGACAGUGCCGUAUAGGACUGAGCUUAUGAGUUGUAACCUGCCAGCAAAAGACAACCUCCUAGCAGGCCAGCUUCUUAACUAAAAAGUCUCUCAAUUAAGAUCUCGCAAUCAGCUUCAGAUAGCUUCCAUGGUAUUAAAGGAAGCCCUAAAUACUUAACAGGUGGAGAACCUCUUUUAAAACCACUCAGCUGAACCAUCUCCUGCGGAUACAUUGCAUUUUUCAUUGGAUUCAAAAUUAUGCUUGAAAGGUUAUAGAAGCACUGAAAUGUUUCCAAUGUCUCCUUUGGAGCCCCAACAAGUCCAUCAGUUAGUAUCAAAAUAUCAUCGGUAAAACAACGAUGAGUGAGCUUUAUUUUUAGCACAAAUGAUGAAACUUCAGAUUUCCUUGCUUAGCAGCCUUACAUAACACUUCAAUCACCAUAAGAAAAAUUUGGGUCACCUUGCCUGAGAUCCUUACCACCUUGAAAUCAACAGUUAAGGCCACCAUUAAUAGUAACAGAGAAGCAUGCAGAAGCAAUGCAAAAUUUUUAGGGUUUAGGAAACCCAACGCGGCCAUGACAUUGAAAAUAAAAGGCUAAUGCACUUAAGCAAAGGCCUUCAUAAGAUAUGCCUUUAUAAGACCCUUAGAAGACAACUUCUUUCUUGUGAUAGUGCUUAACAUCUUCAGGAGCAAGCAAGAUAUUAUCAGCGAUUUUCCUACCCUCGCCUCAAUGAAAUCUCAUUGGUUCUUACUGACAAAAUAACGGAGCACUAUCGUCAAUCAAUUUGCCAGGAUUUUACUUAUGCAUCUGAAGACAACGUCCAGUGGGAGAUAGGCUUAUAAUCAGCCAUCUCAGAGGUAUUGUGGACUUUAGGGACCAAAGUGAUACCAGUAAUUCACCCAUUCAUUAUCCUGAAAGAAGCUAAGUAUAGCAACACUAAAAUCCCUACCAGUGUUAGGCCGAGAAUCUUUCAAAAAAAAAAAAAAAGUUGAGAGGAAUACUCAUCAGGUUUCAGACCAAAGAGAUGCUUGGAUUUCCUCAGCUGUAAUAUGAACACCCACGAGAUCCUGUAGAUCAUGAGAAAGUUAAUAUUCAAGUAAUCACUUCAGCUGAGAGAUGAUUCCACUGGAGCAAUUAACAUCUGGAGCACCCAAUAAGUCUUAAUGAAAGCCCGCAGUUUCUGCCACAAUUUCAUCAUGCUUCUUAUAAGAUACUUCCAUUACUUGCCACCGGAGAUCUAAUAGUGUUCCCCAAAGUUCUCACUUUCUCCACUUAAUGAGAAAACAAGUAUUUGGAUCACCAAGCUUUAGCCAGUUAAACUCUCCAAGUGAUUGCUCCUGAGAGCAUGCUGGACAGCAGCAAGCUGAAGUUUUUUUGUUUCCACUUUCUCAGGCAAAGCACCAAAAAACCUCUUAUAUAAUGAGCAAUGAGCAAUACAUUGGAUUUUCAGUCA